rnacentral:tRNA from 1 species
GGUUGUGGCUCAGUGGUAGAGCGCUUGCCUAGCAUGAAUGAGGUACUGAGUUUGAUCCCUGGCACCA